rfam:Erinaceus europaeus unplaced genomic scaffold scaffold00233, whole genome shotgun sequence
GGAUGUGAGGGUGAUCUGGCUGCGACAUCUGUCACCCCAUUGAUCACCAGGGUUGAUUUGGCUGAUCUGGAUGGCUAGGCGGGUGUCCCUUUCUUCCCUCACAGCUCCAUGUGUGUCCCUCACAGUCUACCAAUACAUAAUUAAUUGAUGAACUUGGUACUCUUUAUAAUAGUUGAUCUUUAUGACAUUUUCCUAACAUUUAUUUGAGGUCAUUAACUUCCCGAAGGACUACAGAAAAAAUAAAAGUUCAGUAACUGUAUGUCAAUGUUGAUCAGUUGAGGCCUCA